ACGGCUCAGUAACACGUAGCUAAUCUACCCUUAAGUCAAGGAUAACCUCGGGAAACUGAGGAUAAUACUUGAUAGGAGACAUACCCUGGAAAGAUUUGUCUUUCAAAUUCGAGCUUAAGGACGAGGCUGCGGCGGAUUAGGUGGUUGGCGGGGUAAAGGCCCACCAAGCCGAUGAUCCGUAAGGGCUCUUAGCGGAGAGGCCCUGAGAGGGAAUCUGAGACACUAUUCCCAGCCCUACGGGGUGCAGCAGGUAAGAAUCUUUUGCAAUGCGCGCAAGCGUGACAAAGCGAGCCAGAGUGCUUUUCAAUUGAAAAGCUUUUGCUAAAUUUAAAAAUUUUGGCGAAUAAGGACUGGGUAAGACUAGUGCCAGCCGCCGCGGUAAUCCUAGCGGUCCAAGUCGCAGCCAUCAUUAUUGGGUCUAAAACAUCCGUAGCUUGUUUAAUAAGUUCCUUGUGAAAUCUUGUCUCUUAAGGGCAAGGCGUGCAAGGAGUACUGUUAGGCUAGAGACUGGAAGACGUAAGAAGUAUGUUCAAAGUAGCGGUAAAAUGUGUUAAUCUUGAGCAGACUCACAACAGCGAAGGCAUCUUACGAGGACAGUUCUGACAGUAAAGGAUGAAGGCUAGGGGCGCGAAGUGGAUUAGAUACCCAUGUAGUCCUAGCAGUAAACACUGCGCACUAAACAUUAGUACCUCCUCGAGAGGUAUUGGUGCUGGAGAGAAGUCGAAGAGUGCGCUACCUGGGAAGUAUAGCCGCAAGGCCGAAACUUAAAGGAAUUGGCGGGGGAGCAC
rnacentral:rRNA from 1 species